rnacentral:rRNA from 1 species
AUGAACGCUGGCGGCGUGCCUAAUACCUGCAAGUCGAGCGAACGGACGAGAAGCUUGCUUUUCUGAUGUUAGCGGCGGACGGGUGAGUAACACAUGGAUAACCUACCUAUAAGACUGGGAUAACUUCGGGAAACCGGAGCUAAUACCGGAUAAUAUUUUGAACCGCAUGGUUCAAAAGUGAAAGACGGUCUUGCUGUCACUUAUAGAUGGAUCCGCGCUGCAUUAGCUAGUUGGUAAGGUAACGGCUUACCAAGGCAACGAUGCAUAGCCGACCUGAGAGGGUGAUCGGCCACACUGGAACUGAGACACGGUCCAGACUCCUACGGGAGGCAGCAGUAGGGAAUCUUCCGCAAUGGGCGAAAGCCUGACGGAGCAACGCCGCGUGAGUGAUGAAGGUCUUCGGAUCGUAAAACUCUGUUAUUAGGGAAGAACAUAUGUGUAAGUAACUGUGCACAUCUUGACGGUACCUAAUCAGAAAGCCACGGCUAACUACGUG